rnacentral:lncRNA from 1 species
AGCCUGGGCAUGUGGUAUGAGAUCAAGGCCCAGGUACACAACAUCCACCUGUGCAAAGACAAACAUGGCAAGACUGGGCUGCAGCUGCAGACCACCAACAAGGGGCUCUUUGUGCAGGUGAGGUGGUCCAGGCCAACACCACUGCAUCCCUCAUGCUGCUGUGCUUUGGGGACCAAAUCCUACAGAUUGAUGGGCAUGACUGUGCCAAGUGGAACAUGGAAAAAGCCCAUCUGGCAGAUGUGAGAGGGAAUUGGCCAAGAAGAUUGUUAUGGUCAUUCAGGACAGGAUAGUCCAGUGGAUUGUCACCAUGCACAAGGACAGCACAAGCCAUGGUGGCUUCAUCAUCAAGAAGGGAAAGGUCUUCCCUGUGGUCAAAGGGAGCUCUGUGGUCCUCAAGGACUCUUCACCAACCACCAUGUGUGCCAGGUUCAAGAACGUUUAACAAGCACUGUGCAGAGUGUCAUUGGGCUGAAAGAGAUCUCAGAGAUUCUGGCCACAGCCAGGAACAUUGUCACCCUGAUCAUCAUCCCCACUGUGAUCUAUGAGCACAUAGUCAAAAAGUUUUCCCUGACCCAUCGCCACCACAUAUGGACCACUUCAUCCCAGAUGCCUGA